rnacentral:rRNA from 1 species
UCGGGUUGUAAAGCACUUUUGUCCGGAAAGAAAACUUCUGGGUUAAUACCCUGGGAGGCUGACGGUACCGGAAGAAUAAGCACCGGCUAACUACGUGCCAGCAGCGCGGUAAUCGUAGGGUGCGAGCGUUAAUCGGAAUUACUGGGCGUAAAGCGUGCGCAGGCGGUUUGUUAAGACAGAUGUGAAAUCCCCGGGCUUAACCUGGGAACUGCAUUUGUGACUGGCAAGCUAGAGUAUGGCAGAGGGGGGUAGAAUUCCACGUGUAGCAGUGAAAUGCGUAGAGAUGUGGAGGAAUACCGAUGGCGAAGGCAGCCCCCUGGGCCAAUACUGACGCUCAUGCACGAAAGCGUGGGGAGCAAACAGGAUUAGAUACCCUGGUAGUCCACGCCCUAAACGAUGUCAACUAGUUGUUGGGGAUUCAUUUCCUUAGUAACGUAGCUAACGCGUGAAGUUGACCGCCUGGGGAGUACGGUCGCAAGAUUAAAACUCAAAGGAAUUGACGGGGACCCGCACAAGCGGUAGAUGGAUGUGGAUUAAUUCGAUGCAACGCGAAACCUUACCUACCCUUGACAUGGACGGAACCUGCUG